AUUAAGGUUUCCUCUUGAGGAUAUUUGUCCCAGAGAAAAAGAAAAGUAUCAGCUUUAUGCUGUUAUUAACCAUAAUGGCUCACUGCAAUUUGGACACUAUUAUGCUUAUGUGAAAUGUCAAGACAAAUGGUAUGAAUGCAACGAUUCAAUAUGCUAUGAAAUAUCUGUGGACAAUGUUAUUACUUCUUCGGCAUAUGUCCUGUUUUAUGAACGUGUCAAGGUCAAUGAAAGUGAAGCCUACCUAGUUUAGCCUAAAUGGGAAUUACUGCCAAAUUGUGUUCGUAUUUUAUAUCUUGAGAAUAGUUUGAUGUGACCUGAUUAUACUAUAGUUAUCAUCAUUUCCACUUUAAGCAUUAAUUACAGCUAUUGGUAUUGUAAAAUCAUUUUAUGUGAAUGAGUAAAA